rnacentral:rRNA from 1 species
CGCGUAGGCGGCUAGGCAAGUCAGAGGUGAAAGCCCUCGGCUCAACCGAGGAACUGCCUCUGAUACUGCCUGGCUUGAGUCCCGGAGAGGGUAGUGGAAUUCCCAGUGUAGCGGUGAAAUGCGUAGAUAUUGGGAGGAACACCGGUGGCGAAGGCGGCUACCUGGACGGGUACUGACGCUGAGGCGCGAAAGCGUGGGGAGCAAACA